rnacentral:rRNA from 1 species
UACGUAGGGGGCAAGCGUUUGUCCGGAAUCAUUGGGCGUAAAGCGCGUGUAGGCGGUUCGGUAAGUCUGCUGUGAAAACUCGAGGCUCAACCUCGAGACGUCGGCGGAAACCAUCUGGCUAGAGUCCGGAAGAGGAGAGUGGAAUUCCUGGUGGUAGCGGUGAAAUGCGCAGAUAUCAGGAAGAACACCCGUGGCGAAGGCGGCUCUCUGGGACGGUACUGACGCUGAGACGCGAAAGCGUGGGGAGCGAACAGG